AGCGAACGCUGGCGGCGUGCCUAACACAUGCAAGUCGAACGUGAAAGGGAGCAAUCCUGAGUAAAGUGGCGUACGGGUGAGUAACACGUAGGUAAUCUACCAAAGAGUCCGGAAUAACCUGCCGAAAGGCGGGCUAAUACUGGAUAGAGCGACGGAAUCCGUAAUUGGGUUUUUCGGGAAAGGGAGGAAGCAAUUCCCUUCGCUCUUUGAUGAGCCUGCGUCUGAUUAGCUAGUUGGUGAGGUAAUGGCUCACCAAGGCGAUGAUCGGUAGCUGGUCUGAGAGGAUGAUCAGCCACACUGGAACUGAAACACGGUCCAGACUCCUACGGGAGGCAG
rnacentral:rRNA from 1 species